AGUGAACGCUGGCGGUAGGCCUAACACAUGCAAGUCGAACGGCAGCACAGUAAGAGCUUGCUCUUACGGGUGGCGAGUGGCGGACGGGUGAGGAAUACAUCGGAAUCUACUUUUUCGUGGGGGAUAACGUAGGGAAACUUACGCUAAUACCGCAUACGACCUACGGGUGAAAGUAGGGGAUCUUCGGACCUUGCGCGAUUGAAUGAGCCGAUGUCGGAUUAGCUAGUUGGCGGGGUAAAGGCCCACCAAGGCGACGAUCCGUAGCUGGUCUGAGAGGAUGAUCAGCCACACUGGAACUGAGACACGGUCCAGACUCCUACGGGAGGCAGCAGUGGGGAAUAUUGGACAAUGGGCGCAAGCCUGAUCCAGCCAUACCGCGUGGGUGAAGAAGGCCUUCGGGUUGUAAAGCCCUUUUGUUGGGAAAGAAAAGCAGCAGGUUAAUACCCCGCUGUUCUGACAGUACCCAAAGAAUAAGCACCGGCUAACUUCGUG
rnacentral:rRNA from 1 species